rnacentral:misc_RNA from 1 species
GAUGAAGAACGUAGCGAAAUGCGAUAAGUAAUGUGAAUUGCAGAAUUCAGUGAAUCAUCGAAUCUUUGAACGCACCUUGCACCCUUUGGCAUUCCGAAGGGUAUGCUCGUUUGAGUGUCAUUGUACUCUCACACUUCCAAUCUUUGGAUUGGGAGCAGUGGACUUGGGUGUUGCUGCUUACUGUGGCUCACCUCAAAUCGAUUCGUGCACCUCUUGGUUGGACAUAGUACGGCGUGAUAAGUGUCUUCGCCGGCACCUCAGUAGAGGGUGGCUGAUCAGGAGCUCUGUGCUUAAAACCGUCCUCGGACAAAAACUGACAACUUGACCUCAAAUCGAGUAGGACUACCCGCUGAACUUAAGCAUAUCAAUAAGCGGAGGA